UGAUAUAAUCAAUUUUUUUUUUCAAUCCAAUAUUUUUUUAUAGAAAAUAAAAAAAAAACUACACCCUUCGUCUUGUUAAAAGAUUGACCCUCAUAACCUCACUGUUGGCUGUCUCUUAACUUUCUUCCUCCCCCAAGAUUUCCUCGGCUUCCACCACUGCCCCCAUCUCGCUCCUGCUGCUCCACUGUAGCCCGGCCCCCGUCCAUUGCAGCCUCCCUCCACCGCAACUCGUGCUCCAACUUGAAGACGUACCCAACAACCCCAUGCUCCAAGUUAAAGGGACAACGAUUGCCACCCCCAAAGACAGCGGUUGCCACCUCCUUGCCUCCAUCCUCGCACGGCGGCUUUCACCUUAAAGUUAGGGUUGGGCUUGUCGAGAAUCCAAAUAAUUGCGGGCGAAAGAGAUGCAAAAAUCCAAAGCAAUGCCAGUUAUAAUUGGAGACUUGGUGUUUCAUAUACAAACUACUGCUGCGUGCUAUUCCUGCUACUGCCCAAACCACCACUCCGUGCAUCAGUUGUCACAUUUUCUAUGCUUUAAUUUUGUGGGUGCGGUCACUCAAGAUUAUAGUGAGGGUUUGUAUGGUUUUGAUGACUGCUGCCGGAAAAGCUACUUGUUAAAAAUUGUAACUUGGGAUCAGUCACUGCAUUCAGCAGCUCCAAAGCAUGCCGUGAGAAACAACGAAGGGAUCAUCUAAAUGAACAGUUUUAAUAUUUGAGGGAUUUUGAUCUCAUUUUGCCUUUUUUUUUCUCAAUGUACUUAUUACCAUUUUGUUGGUAGGUUCCUUGAGUUAAGUGAAACAUUGAGGUCUGGAACAACACCCAAGUUUGACAAAGCCGCUAUACUAACUGAUGCUAUUCGGCAAGUAAAGCUAUUACAUGAAGAAACUUGUAACUUAACCAGCCAAAAUGGCGAAGUAAAAGAAAAGAUUAAUGAAUUGAAGGUUCUGACUCUUUUAUAUUUGCUUUGAUCUGUAAGCUUUGAACAAUUUGAGGAUUAUACAUCAACCUGCUAGCCAAUAAUCUCACAAAUCAGCCUUAAUACCAAAUAAUACUUCGUAUAUUUUUUUAUUCCUCAAUCUCUUACUGGUAGUUAUCUUUAUUGGUGUCUAAACUAUCUGCACUUUGUACUAAUGAAGGCAAAGAAGAAAGCCCUUUGCGCUGAAAAGCAUAGGUUAGUGUCAGAGAAAGAGAAGUUAGAGCAGAGAAUUAACUUUGUAGGUUCUUGUCCUAGCUUACAUUUCCAUCCUACUUCAGUUCCAACUUCAUACGCUAUCCCCUGUCAAGCAGUUGGUGGCAAACUGAUGCCCCUAAUUAAUUACUCCGGUGUUCCCUUUUGGCAAUUUGUGCCUCAAGCUGCAUUUGAUACUCACAAGAUCAUGUCUUUCACCCUCCCAUCACUUAAGCUGGAGCUAUAUAUUAUCCCUUCCUCGCAGAUCUCCCAUGGGCCUUGAAGUUAAUGGUUAAGUCUCCUUAUUGUAAGAUGCUCUGUUUCAGGAUGAAGGGAUGGAUUAACAAUGGAUGAUUGGCUAUUAUUGGAGUAAUAGUUAAUUAUUCUGCUUAACUAAUAAUCUAAAUUCGGUCAAAAAAAUAAACUAAUUUAAUUUCUCAUAGUAUUUCUGUUAUAUUGGCUCCUUUUCCUUUUAUUGUUAGAUUUUCAUGAUAAUUCAAUGGCUCACUAUCUAUCUCUCGAUGUGGCAGGACCUACAUUGUUUGCUCCUGUAGUUGAGAUGGCCAUGACAAUUGUUGAGGAGAGUGGAGGACAAUACCAUGUUUUACUCAUUAUUGCAGAUGGAUUAAUUGAAGACAAAGAUACUCGUAAAUCUUCAAGCAAUUAGUAGAAGAUAAAGAGAAACUUGAUUCCAUUAGUUUUAUUUCCUUGGAGCUGUUGUGCAGUUUUUUUCUUUUUAAUUGUAUACAGUAAUAGUGUAAUGGAGUACUACUAAGUUUUGAUUUAUUUGGUUUUUUCUUGUAUUUGACUUCACCUUUAUCAAUUAAAGAUUAAAUUUAGUUUUACUGAUAA